GCUCGCAGGCCCCUGUUGUAUUUAAGGCAUUAAGAUCUGUUUCGAAUGAGGUGUAAUACAUCAAUCGCUAUUCUUGGCAAAUUUGAGUCUCACAUGUAUAAGCGUUGCUAACAUUCCAUGAUUAAUAGGUUAAUGGGCUUAGUAUAGUCGAAGAUAUCUGUCUCCCCGCUCCCCUUGCCAUCUACUUAUAGGGUUUUGGUUUUCCUUCUGUAGCCUCACGUCCUUCCAGUGUGGUCCAACUUUUAAUCCCACCGGGUCCUGUCGUUGAAUUGGUGUUUUAGACUCCAUUUUUACG